CCUACUGGAGGCAGCAGUGAGGAAUAUUGGUCAAUGGACGGAAGUCUGAACCAGCCAUGUCGCGUGCAGGAAGACGGCUCUAUGGGUUGUAAACUGCUUUUGUACAAGAGUAAACCUGAAUACGUGUAGUCAGUUGAAAGUACUGUACGAAUAAGGAUCGGCUAACUCCGUGCCAGCAGCCUCGGUAAUACGGAGGAUCCAAGCGUUAUCCGGAUUUAUUGGGUUUAACGGGUGCGUAGGCGGAUUGAUAAGUUAGUGGUGAAAUGUCGGAGCUAAACUUGAGAAUUGCAUUUGAUACUGUUGAUCUUGAGAAUAGCUGAGGUAGGCGGAAUGUAUGGUGUAGCGGUGAAAUGCUUAGAUAUCAUACAGAACACCGAUUGCGAAGGCAGCUUACUAAACUAUAUCUGACGUUGAGGCACGAAAGUGUGGGGAGCAAACAGGAUUAGAUACCCUUGUAGUC
rnacentral:rRNA from 1 species